rnacentral:misc_RNA from 1 species
UUUCCGUUGGUGAACCAGCGGAGGGAUCAUUACCGAGUGCAAACUCAUAACCCUUUGUGAACCUAUAUCUGUUGCUUCGGCGGCUCGCUCUCGGGCGAGCCCGCCGGUAAUAUCAGUAUCUCUGUUUGAACCCGACGAUACUUCUGAGUGUUCUUAGCGAACAGUUAAAACUUUUAACAACGGAUCUCUUGGCUCUAGCAUCGAUGAAGAAGCAGC